AAGUGAUCCUCCCUGUCCGGUGGGUGCCUCCACAACCUACUACGACAGCACCAGAGACACUGCCCUCUUGGGGAAGCAACGGUGCCAGGGACGGAAUGGCUGUUUGAAGAUGAGGUUUCUCCUACGACUGUGCUGAUCCAAGAAAGAAACUUGAAGAAUGGGAGUGGGGCAACGAGCUCUGUGUUCCUGCUUUCUGGCACAUGCAAGGACCAGGAGUUGGGUUCUUCCUUCCCCAUUGUCCCUGCUCCUUGGGCUGUUCCUGCCACCGUCCAAGCAAAAGGCUCUGCAAGUCUCCUACUGUGACGGCCCUGAGGACUUUGUCUUCAGCAAUAAUCCUUUU